CUGGGCGUAAGGGAGCGUAGGCGGUUCCUUAAGUCGAAUGUGAAAUCUUCUGGCUCAAUCAGAAGGCGCCAUUUGAUACUGAGGGGCUUGAGAGCAGCAGAGGGAAAUGGAACCCCCAGUGUAGCGGUGAAAUGCGUAGAUAUUGGGGAGAACACCAGUGGCGAAGGCGAUUUCCCAGGUUGUUUCUGACGCUGAGGCUCGAAAGCGUGGGGAGCGAAGCGGAUUAGAUACCCGCGUAGUCCACGCCCUAAACGGUGGACACUAGAUAUAGGAGGUAUCGACCCUUUCUGUGUCGAAGCUAACGCUUUAAGUGUCCCGCCUGGGUAGUACGGCCGCAAGGCUGAAACUCAAAGGAAUUGACGGGGGCCCGCACAAGCAGCGGAGCGUGUGGUUUAAUUCGAUGCUACACGAAGAACCUUACCAGGACUUGACAUGGCAGAAGUAGGAAUCCGAAAGGAGGACGACCUGUAUCCAGUCAGGAGCUGUCACAGGUGCUACAUGGCUGUCGUCAGCUCGUGCCGUGAGGUGUUGGGUUAAGUCCCGCAACGAGCGCAACCCUUGUCCUAUGUUAAAUUCUCAUAGGAGACUGCCUUGUACAGCAAGGAGGAAGGAAAGGAUGACGUCAAGUCAGCACGGCCUUUAUGUUCUGGGCUACACACACGCUACAAUGGACGAUACAGAGGGUUGCCAAGGAGCGAUCCGGAGCUAAUCCCCGAAAAUCGUCCUCAGUUCGGAUUGUAGGCUGAAAUCGCCUGCAUGAAGGCGGAGUUGCUAGUAACCGCAGUCAGCUAUACUGCGGUGAAUACGUUCUCGGGCCUUGUACACACCGCCCGUCACGCCAUGGGAGCUGGCAACACCU
rnacentral:rRNA from 1 species